AGAGUUUGAUCAUGGCUCAGGACGAACGCUGGCGGCGUGCCUAAUACAUGCAAGUCGAACGCUUCUCUUUUCACCGGAGCUUGCUCCAACGAAAAGAGAAGAGUGGCGGACGGGUGAGUAACACGUGGGCAACCUGCCCAACAGAGGGGGAUAACACUUGGAAACAGGUGCUAAUACCGCAUAGGUCAUCAUUCCACAUGGAAAGAUGACAAAAGACGCUACGGUGUCGCUGUUGGAUGGGCCCGCGCUGCAUUAGUUAGUUGGUGAGGUAACGGCUCACCAAGACCAUGAUGCAUAGCCGACCUGAGAGGGUGAUCGGCCACACUGGGACUGAGACACGGCCCAGACUCCUACGGGAGGCAGCAGUAGGGAAUCUUCGGCAAUGGACGAAAGUCUGACCGAGCAACGCCGCGUGAGUGAAGAAGGUUUUCGGAUCGUAAAACUCUGUUGUUAGAGAAGAACAAGUAGGAGAGUAACUGCUCUUACCUUGACGGUAUCUAACCAGAAAGCCACGGCUAACUACGUGCCAGCAGCCGCGGUAAUAC
rnacentral:rRNA from 1 species